rnacentral:rRNA from 1 species
UACGGAGGGGGCUAGCGUUGUUCGGAAUUACUGGGCGUAAAGCGCACGUAGGCGGCUUUGUAAGUUAGAGGUGAAAGCCCGGGGCUCAACUCCGGAAUUGCCUUUAAGACUGCAUCGCUAGAAUUGUGGAGAGGUAAGUGGAAUUCCGAGUGUAGAGGUGAAAUUCGUAGAUAUUCGAAAGAACACCAGUGGCGAAGGCGACUUACUGGACACAUAUUGACGCUGAGGUGCGAAAGCGUGGGGAGCAAACAGG